UACAGAGGGGGCAAGCGUUGUUCGGAAUUACUGGGCGUAAAGGGCGCGUAGGCGGCCUUCUAAGUCGAACGUGAAAUCCCCGGGCUCAACCCGGGAACUGCGUCCGAUACUGGAAGGCUUGAAUCCGGGAGAGGGAUGUGGAAUUCCAGGUGUAGCGGUGAAAUGCGUAGAUAUCUGGAGGAACACCGGUGGCGAAGGCGACAUCCUGGACCGGUAUGACGCUGAGGCGCGAAAGCCAGGGGA
rnacentral:rRNA from 1 species